AAAAAUUGUGGGAUAAACACCGAAUGUUAUUAACCAAGUAAAGUAAAUAAAAGCAGCCAGUAUCAGAUUAGAGUAGAGAAAUAUACAGAUAAGAAGCUAAUAACAUUAACAAACUCCAUCUAAUUCAGUUUCCACUUUCCAGUGCUACACAACUAACAAAAGUUACAGUUGNAUAAGAAGCUAAUAACAUUAACAAACUCCAUCUAAUUCAGUUUCCACUUUCCAGUGCUACACAACUAACAAAAGUUACAGUUGUCAUCGAGAACACACGCUGGUUCAUAUGCAUACCUCUGCAAAAAGUCGGACAUUUCAG
rnacentral:lncRNA from 1 species